rnacentral:rRNA from 1 species
UACGGGGGGAGCAAGCGUUGUUCGGAUUUACUGGGCGUAAAGGGCGCGUAGGCGGCCACCGCAAGUCGGUUGUGAAAUCUCUGGGCUUAACCCAGAAAGGUCAACCGAUACUGCGGGGCUAGAGUGCAGAAGGGGCAACUGGAAUUCUCGGUGUAGCGGUGAAAUGCGUAGAUAUCAGGUGGAACACCAGUGGCGAAGGCGGUGUUCUGGGCCAGUACCGACGCUGAGGCACGAAAGCGUGGGGAGCAAACAGG